rfam:Plasmodium fragile strain nilgiri unplaced genomic scaffold supercont1.73, whole genome shotgun sequence.
CAACCUUAACGAUGGAUGUCUUGGUUCCUACGGCGAAGAAGGCCGCAAUUAAACGCGAUACAUGUGACACGAAAAAGGUAAAUGUGAAUAAUCGAAAAUCGUAUAUAUUCUCCGUGAAUCAUCUAUUAAGCCGAAUGCCAAAAUGAAAGUAU